rnacentral:rRNA from 1 species
GACGAACGCUGGCGGCGUGCUUAACACAUGCAAGUCGAACGGAAAGGCCCUGCUUUUGUGGGGUGCUCGAGUGGCGAACGGGUGAGUAACACGUGAGUAACCUGCCCUUGACUUUGGGAUAACUUCAGGAAACUGGGGCUAAUACCGGAUAGGAGCUCCUGCUGCAUGGUGGGGGUUGGAAAGUUUCGGCGGUUGGGGAUGGACUCGCGGCUUAUCAGCUUGUUGGUGGGGUAGUGGCUUACCAAGGCUUUGACGGGUAGCCGGCCUGAGAGGGUGACCGGCCACAUUGGGACUGAGAUACGGCCCAGACUCCUACGGGAGGCAGAAGAGGGGAAUAUUGCACAAUGGGCGGAAGCCUGAUGCAGCAACGCCGCGUGCGGGAUGACGGCCUUCGGGUUGUAAACCGCUUUCGCCUGUGACGAAGCGUGAGUGACGGUAAUGGGUAAAGAAGCACCGGCUAACUACGUG